rnacentral:rRNA from 1 species
AUUGAACGCUGGCGGCAGGCCUAACACAUGCAAGUCGAACGGUAACAGGAAGAAGCUUGCUUCUUUGCUGACGAGUGGCGGACGGGUGAGUAAUGUCUGGGAAACUGCCUGAUGGAGGGGGAUAACUACUGGAAACGGUAGCUAAUACCGCAUAAUGUCGCAAGACCAAAGAGGGGGACCUUCGGGCCUCUUGCCAUCGGACGUGCCCAGAUGGGAUUAGCUAGUAGGUGGGGUAACUGCUCACCUGGGCGACGAUCCCUAGCUGGUCUGAGAGGAUGACCAGCCACACUGGAACUGAGACCCGGUCCAGACGCCUACGGGAGGCAGCAGUGGGGAAUAUUGCACAAUGGGCGCAAGCCUGAUGCAGCUAUGCCGCGUGUAUGAAGAAGGCCUUCGGGUUGUAAAGUACUUUCAGCGGGGAGGAAGGGAGUAAAGUUAAUACCUUUGCUCAUUGACGUUACCCGCAGAAGAAGCACCGGCUAACUCCGUG